rnacentral:rRNA from 1 species
AGAACGAACGCUGGCGGCAUGCCUAACACAUGCAAGUCGAACGAGACCUUCGGGUCUAGUGGCGCACGGGUGCGUAACGCGUGGGAAUCUGCCCUUGGGUACGGAAUAACAGCGAGAAAUUGCUGCUAAUACCGUAUAAUGACUUCGGUCCAAAGAUUUAUCGCCCAGGGAUGAGCCCGCGUAGGAUUAGCUUGUUGGUGAGGUAAAAGCUCACCAAGGCGACGAUCCUUAGCUGGUCUGAGAGGAUGAUCAGCCACACUGGGACUGAGACACGGCCCAGACUCCGUACGGGAGGCAGCGAGGUGGGGAAUGUUGGACAAUGGGACAAAGCCUGAUCCAGCAAUGCCGCGUGAGUGAGUGAAGUCCGUUAGGUUAGUAAAGCGUUCGUUUACCGGGAU